AGCGAACGCUGGCGGCAGGCUUAACACAUGCAAGUCGAACGGGCAUCUUCGGAUGUCAGUGGCAGACGGGUGAGUAACACGUGGGAACGUACCCUUCGGUUCGGAAUAACUCAGGGAAACUUGAGCUAAUACCGGAUACGCCCUUUUGGGGAAAGGUUUACUGCCGAAGGAUCGGCCCGCGUCUGAUUAGCUUGUUGGUGGGGUAACGGCCUACCAAGGCGACGAUCAGUAGCUGGUCUGAGAGGAUGAUCAGCCACACUGGGACUGAGACACGGCCCAGACUCCUACGGGAGGCAGCAGUGGGGAAUAUUGGACAAUGGGCGCAAGCCUGAUCCAGCCAUGCCGCGUGAGUGAUGAAGGCCUUAGGGUUGUAAAGCUCUUUUGUCCGGGACGAUAAUGACGGUACCGGGAGAAUAAGCCCCGGCUAACUUCGUG
rnacentral:rRNA from 1 species